UGAAGUUAAAGGCUGUGGNUUAACCAUAGUACGCUUUGGAAACUGUUUAACUUGAGUGCAGGAGGGGAGAGUGGAAUUCCAUGUGUAGCGGUGAAAUGCGUAGAUAUAUGGAGGAACACCGGUGGCGAAAGCGGCUNUCUGGUCUGUAACUGACGCUGAGGCUNGAAAGCGUGGGGAGCGAACAGGAUUAGAUACCCUGGUAGUCCACGCCGUAAACGAUGAGUGCUAGGUGUUAGGCCCUUUCCGGGGCUUAGUGCCGCAGCUAACGCAUUAAGCACUCCGCCUGGGGAGUACGACCGCAAGGUUGAAACUCAAAGGAAUUGACGGGGGCCCGCACAAGCGGUGGAGCAUGUGGUUUAAUUCGAAGCAACGCGAAGAACCUUACCAGGUCUUGACAUCCCGAUGCCCGCUCUAGAGAUAGAGUUUUACUUCGGUACAUCGGUGACAGGUGGUGCAUGGUUGUCGUCAGCUCGUGUCGUGAGAUGUUGGGUUAAGUCCCGCAACGAGCGCAACCCUUAUUGUUAGUUGCCAUCAUUCAGUUGGGCACUCUAGCGAGACUGCCGGUAAUAAACCGGAGGAAGGUGGGGAUGACGUCAAAUCAUCAUGCCCCUUAUGACCUGGGCUACACACGUGCUACAAUGGCUGGUACAACGAGUCGCAAGUCGGUGACGGCAAGCUAAUCUCUUAAAGCCAGUCUCAGUUCGGAUUGUAGGCUGCAACUCGCCUACAUGAAGUCGGAAUCGCUAGUAAUCGCGGAUCAGCACGCCGCGGUGAAUACGUUCCCGGGCCUUGUACACACCGCCCGUCACACCACGAGAGUUUGUGACACCCGAAGUCGGUGAGGUANCCUUUUAGGAGCCA
rnacentral:rRNA from 1 species